AUUUAACGAAAGUGGCGAACGGGUGAGUAACACGUGAGCAACCUGCCUUACACAGGGGAUAGCCAUUGGAAACGGUGAUUAAUACCCCAUAAGACCACAAUACCGCAUGGUAAAAGGGUAAAAGGGAUACUGGUGUAAGAUGGGCUCGCGUCUGAUUAGCUAGUUGGUGGGGUAAAGGCCUACCAAGGCGACGAUCAGUAGCCGGUCUGAGAGGAUGAACGGCCACAUUGGAACUGAGACACGGUCCAAACUCCUACGGGAGGCAGCAGGA
rnacentral:rRNA from 1 species